UUUCUUUCUCUCUCUCUUUUCUCUUUCUCUCAUGACUACUGACUUUCUUCUUCCUCUUCAUCAACCUUCUUCUUCAUCACCAUGAUCUGAUCCAACGCUUCCAUGGUAGGGUUUUGAUUUCGUUGCCUGUGGUGAUCACAGUUGAAUCGCAUACGACGAAGAAGACGCUGAUUCUCCUCAGAUUUUAGAGAUAUGUAAACGUUCAAUCGCAGCAAUCUAGAGCGAUUCAUUAAACCGAACUUUUUCAGAUCCCCUUUUCAUAUCAUCACUACUAUCCCUACCAUUG